rnacentral:rRNA from 2 species
AGAGUUUGAUCCUGGCUCAGAACGAACGCUGGCGGCACGCUUAACACAUGCAAGUCGAACGGUGCGAGGAAGCUUGCUUUCUUGCACAGUGGCGCACGGGUGAGUAACACGUGGCUACCUGCCCAUUGAUGGUGGAUAACUCCGGGAAACUGGAGCUAAUACAGCAUAAUCUCGAGAGAGGAAAGGCCGAGAGGUCGUCAAUGGAGGGGGCUGCGUCUGAUUAGGUAGUUGGUGGGGUAAAGGCUCACCAAGCCAAUGAUCAGUAGCUGGUCUGAGAGGAUGGUCAGCCACACUGGAACUGAGAUACGGUCCAGACUCCUACGGGAGGCAGCAGUGGGGAAUAUUGGACAAUGGGGGGAACCCUGAUCCAGCGAUGCCGCGUGAGUGAUGAAGGCCUUAGGGUUGUAAAGCUCUUUUGACAGGGACGAUGAUGACGGUACCUGUAGAAUAAGCACCGGCUAACUCUGUGCCAGCAGCCGCGGUAAUACAGAGGGUGCAAGCGUUGUUCGGAAUUACUGGGCGUAAAGGGCGUGUAGGCGGUUUUGUAAGUCAGAUGUUAAAGACCUGGGCUUAACCUAGGGGGUGCGUUUGAUACUGUGAGACUAGAGUGCAGGAGAGGAGAGUGGAAUUUCCGGUGUAGAGGUGAAAUUCGUAGAUAUCGGAAGGAACACCAGUGGCGAAGGCGGCUCUCUGGACUGCAACUGACGCUGAGGCGCGAAAGUGUGGGGAGCAAACAGGAUUAGAUACCCUGGUAGUCCACGCCUUAAACGAUGGAAGCUAGGUGCUGGGAUUUAGGUUUCGGUGCCGCCGCUAACGCAUUAAGCUUCCCGCCUGGGGAGUACGGUCGCAAGAUUAAAACUCAAAGGAAUUGACGGGGACCCGCACAAGCGGUGGAGCAUGUGGUUUAAUUCGAAGCAACGCGAAAAACCUUACCCGCUUUUGACAUAGGGAUCGAGAGCUCAAGAGAUUGAGUUCGUCGGUUCGGCCGGAUCCUAUACAGGUGCUGCAUGGCUGUCGUCAGCUCGUGUCGUGAGAUGUUGGGUUAAGUCCCGCAACGAGCGCAACCCUUAUUCGUAGUUGCCAUCACGUAAUGGUGGGCACUUUACGAAAACCGCCGCUGAUAAAGUGGAGGAAGGUAGGGAUGACGUCAAGUCCUCAUGGCCCUUAUGGGCGGGGCUACACACGUGCUACAAUGGUGGUGACAAAGAGCUGCAAGUGGGCGACCACGAGCGAAUCUUAAAAAGCCAUCUCAGUUCAGAUUGCACUCUGCAACUCGAGUGCAUGAAGUUGGAAUCGCUAGUAAUCGCGAAUCAGCAUGUCGCGGUGAAUACGUUCUCGGGUCUUGUACACACCGCCCGUCACACCAUGGGAGUUGAUUUUACCUUAAGCCGGUGAGCUAACCAGCAAUGGAGGCAGCCGAUCACGGUGAGGUCGAUGACUGGGGUGAAGUCGUAACAAGGUAACCGUA